GCUCAGUUGGUAAAGCACAAGGCUCUUAACCUUGUGGACGUGGAUUCGAGUCCCAU
rfam:Triticum aestivum genome assembly, contig: Triticum_aestivum_CS42_TGACv1_scaffold_113125_2AS